UUGAAUUGAAGAGUUUGAUCAUGGCUCAGAUUGAACGCUGGCGGCAGGCCUAACACAUGCAAGUCGGGCGGUAACAGGAAAGCGCUUGCGCUUUUGCUGACGAGCGGCGG
rnacentral:rRNA from 1 species